rnacentral:rRNA from 1 species
AGUCGAGGGGUACAUAGAGUGCUUGCACUCUGAUGACGACCGGCGCACGGGUGAGUAACGCGUAUACAAUCUGCCUCAUACUAGGGCAUAGCCCAGAGAAAUUUGGAUUAACACCCUAUAGUAUCUUUUAGAGUCAUCUCUUUAAGAUUAAAGGUUACGGUAUGAGAUGAGUAUGCGUUCUAUUAGUUAGUAGGUGAGGUAACGGCUCACCUAGACCACGAUAGAUAGGGGCCCUGAGAGGGGGAUCCCCCACACUGGUACUGAGACACGGACCAGACUCCUACGGGAGGCAGCAGUGAGGAAUAUUAGACAAUGGGCGAAAGCCUGAUCUAGCCAUGCCGCGUGCAGGAUGACGGCCCUAUGGGUUGUAAACUGCUUUUAUACAGGAAGAAAAAACUCUACGUGUAGAGUCUUGACGGUACUGUAAGAAUAAGGAUCGGCUAACUCCGUGCCAGCAGCCGCGGUAAUACGGAGGAUCCAAGCGUUAUCCGGAAUUAUUGGGUUUAAAGGGUCCGUAGGUGGACAAUUAAGUCAGAGGUGAAAUCCUGCAGCUCAACUGUAGAAUUGCCUUUGAAACUGGUUUUCUUGAGUCAUUAUGAAGUGGUUAGAAUGUGUAGUGUAGCGGUGAAAUGCAUAGAUAUUACACAGAAUACCAAUUGCGAAGGCAGAUCACUAAUAAUGUACUGACACUGAGGGACGAAAGCGUGGGUAGCGAACAGGAUUAGAUACCCUGGUAGUCCACGCCGUAAACGAUGGUCACUAGCUGUUCGGACUUCGGUCUGAGUGGCUAAGCGAAAGUGAUAAGUGACCCACCUGGGGAGUACGUUCGCA